rnacentral:rRNA from 1 species
GCUGACGAGUGGCGGACGGGUGAGUAAUGUCUGGGAAACUGCCUGAUGGAGGGGGAUAACUACUGGAAACGGUGGCUAAUACCGCAUAACGUCGCAAGACCAAAGAGGGGGACCUUCGGGCCUCUUGCCAUCAGAUGUGCCCAGAUGGGAUUAGCUAGUUGGUGAGGUAACGGCUCACCAAGGCGACGAUCCCUAGCUGGUCUGAGAGGAUGACCAGCCACACUGGAACUGAGACACGGUCCAGACUCCUACGGGAGGCAGCAGUGGGGAAUAUUGCACAAUGGGCGCAAGCCUGAUGCAGCCAUGCCGCGUGUAUGAAGAAGGCCUUCGGGUUGUAAAGUACUUUCAGC